UGUUUGAAGAGAAAAGAUGGAGAAAAUGAACCAGGCACUGGAGAAGAUGAAAAUGUUGGUGGGAAUGGAUGUAGAAGAUGAAGAAGUAGCUCCUCAACAAGAAUCUUUCAUGGAUGAUUUGAAUCGCAACUGCACUUUGUCCACCAAACAGAGGCUUUAUGGUUUCGCUAUAUGCUUAACAACUGGUAUCGCCUGUACUCUCUUGUCAAUGCUGGUUUUCUUCAAUCCAAUCAAGUUUGGAAUAACAUUUUCUUUUGGGAAUUUGCUUGCUCUUGGAAGCACAGCGUUCCUCAUAGGGCCUAAACGACAAGCGACAAUGAUGCUUGACCCAGUUCGUAUAUAUGCCACUGCUAUUUAUAUUGCA
rnacentral:misc_RNA from 1 species